UACGAAGGGAGCUAGCGCUGUUCGGAAUCACUGGGCGUAAAGCGCACGUAGGCGGAUGUGUCAGUCAGGGGUGAAAUCCCGGAGCUCAACUUCGGAACUGCCUUUGAUACAGCACAUCUGGAGUCCGGAAGAGGUGGGUGGAAUUCCUAGUGUAGAGGUGAAAUUCGUAGAUAUUAGGAAGAACACCGGUGGCGAAGGCGGCCCACUGGUCCGGUACUGACGCUGAGGUGCGAAAGCGUGGGGAGCGAACAGG
rnacentral:rRNA from 1 species